UCUGAAUGGUUUAUGUAUUAAUUGUAAUAUUUGCAAACUACGGGCUUUAAGCUUUAAUUUUUUAUCAUCUGGUUUAUUAGAAGUUGUGCGAUUUGACAUGCAGGACUCUGAUUAACUUGCUUGGGUAAAACUUAACUCAGACUAUUGUGGACGCUGUAACUCAAGUAGUUAAAAAAAACAUUCAUUGACUUAAAUCGAAAGCAAUUCAGUGUACCGAGAAUUACAUUUGAACACAGUCGUAAUGAUAAUUAAUAAUGGAAUAACCAAAAAAAGAGGGCAUUUACAUAGCACUUUAAUGAAGUAAAAAAUUGAUAAACAAAAUAUGAUACCUAUUUAUGGCCGAUCUAAUAAUGCUUUGUAUUAAGAAAAAAGCGGAAAUAUUCGUCAACGACAAAAUCUCAUUGUUCUCCACAUUGUGUUGUACCACUAUAAUUGAAGAGGUGUGGUUAGAACCAAAAAUAUCCAUUUCAUGACAAAGUUUAAUUUAAAAAGAUUUUUCUGAAAUCCUUCUUUUUGACGACAAGAUGUUUAAAGGUCUAACAUAAUUUAUGUAUCCAUUGCGUCCUUUGCACAUUUACGAGGAUCUAAAGUUGGAGGCCCAAGAAGCAAGGUCAACAUUAAUCAUAAGAGCCUGUUGAAAAUAUGGCAUCGCACAGAGUUGUUGUGGAGAGGCGCGAAGUGUAGGGUCUUUAUGUAAACAGGCAUCAACGAAAAGUCUGAGGUCUUCAGGAAACGAAGAUGGAAGUCUAGGUGGUUCUUCUUGAACAAUACAAUGAAGCAAAUCUAGGAUCCCUAUUGAAUCAUCGAUAUUCGAAAACGACCAAGGUAAUUCUUGGGUGGCAAGUUCAAUAAUGCUGAUUCCUAGAGACCAAAUAUCACUUUUGACUGUAUAUUUUCCACCUCUAAUUCGUUCAGGAGACAUAUAAGUUGAAGUCCCCACAAACGUUUGAGCAACCGAGUUAACUAGUUCACCUGAAACUCCAAAAUCGCAUAACUUUAUUUCACCACGAGAGUUGACGACAACGUUGCUAGGCUUUAAAUCCCUGUGAAUGAUAUGUAAAACGUUGUAUAAAUAAAUGAGACCCUUCACCAUAGAAUUUAUAAUUUUUCCUAGAAUAUCUAACGGAAUAGGACCUCCCUCCCGAAGAAUUGCAUCAAGCGAUCCGCAAUCCAUGUAUUCCAUACAUAAUGAAAUGUUGUUUUUAUACUGAAAAGCUCCAUAAAAACCGACUAUGUAGGGUGAACGACAGUGGUGUAGAACACCUAACUCUCGCAAAAUCUGCUUCUGAAGUUUAGAGUCUGACCCAACAUAAACUGUUUUCCUAGCCAUAAAAAUAUUUCUAUGCUUUACCAAUGAAACAGCCCCACCAUUUCCCUCUCCCAAAUGCCUCACUACUUCCAAACUGCUAUUGUCCAAAUCAGAUAUCCAAGCUGGGCGUCGAUUCAUAUGCGCACAUUGCUCCAUAAAUGCUUCGACAUUGGAUUCAAAGCUUUUUUGAUUGUUAAUUAACUCUUCCUUAUGAUCAUUAUCAGAGCUUUUAACAGAGGCGUUAGGAUUCAACACAAGACCUUUUGGAUUUCGACGUCGUUUAAACAUUUCUAGCUAUUGGCCAAAUUCUCAAAGAAACCUGUAUCGAAGAUUAUAUCAUUUAAGAUACUAUUAAAGUUGCUUCUUUUUCUGUAAUUUGACAGCUGACUGUAUUCAAUAAGUUACUUUGCUAAUCAAAGAUACAAAGCAGUAGUUAUGACAGGAUUCUGACUACCCCAACGUGACUAGAGACAACCCUUGCAAUAAGCUACACUUAUUUUUUUUUCUAUAUUUAAGAAUUCCUGAAAGCGG